UCUUUUUCAAAAGAAAUUCUGAUAAAGUUUUUCUUUUCUUUUUUUUUAAGUCUUUUCAAUUUUCUUUUUUAAAAAAAAAAAAGCAAAGGGAAGACUCGAUAGGAGGAGCCAUUGAUAGAAGUAGCUCCAAUAGGUUCGUCUUUUGGACCCCCCAAAGCCAUUCCCAUUCCCAUUAAAAAGAGAGAGAGAGAGAGAGAGAGAGAGAGAGAGAAAGAGAAGCUAAAGAAAAGUCUAUCUUUUCUCUCCACUGAGUGAUUUGUUUUUUUGGUUGGGUGUUGUGGCUGUAGCUGUUAUAACUUCAAAAGCAUAGAAUAGGCGGCUAGAGCAUAUCAGUUCUGGGAUUUUGCUUUUUCAUCUCUUCAUUUAAAGAAGGAGUUCCGCAAGGGUUUUGAGAACAGAGUGCUAAUUCGAUGUGCAGUGGGUCAAAGAGGAAACCAACUCACCUUGGUUUCAUCGAUGAGUUGCAAAAAGAAGAUUAUUUUUGCUAUGAUCUCUCUAUUUUGCUCGAAUUGUCUGCUUCCAAUGAUCUGAUUGGGUUUAAGAGAGCAAUUGAAGAAGAAGGCCGUGAUGUUGAUGAACCUGGCUUGUGGUACGGCCGGAGAAUUGGCUCAAGAAAGAUGGGAAUUGAGGAGAGGACACCCCUCAUGAUUGCGGCCUUGUUUGGAAGCAAAGAUGUCUUGAAUUAUAUCCUGGAAACAGGUCGUGCUGAUGUUAAUAGAGGGUUGGGUUCUGAUGGGGCCACAGCACUCCACUGUGCUGCUGCAGGCGGCUCUGCAGCUUCUCUUGAGGUUGUUAAGCGCUUGCUUGAUGCCUCUGCUGAUCCUAGUGCUGUUGAUGCUAACGGAAAUCACGCAGGUGAUUUGAUAGCUCCAGUUGUUAGUUCUGGUCUUACUUCUAGGAGAAAGGCAUUAGAGAUCAUGCUAAAGGGUGGUAGCUCUGGUGAUGAAUUUUGUGUUUUGGCUGAUCAGAACCCUUUUGAAAUGUAUGGUCAAGAGCUGCAAGAAGUUUCAACACCGAGAGUAUCAAAAGAUGGGACUGAGAAGAAAGAAUAUCCUGUUGAUCUCACUCUUCCAGAUAUCAAGAAUGGUAUAUAUGGUACUGAUGAAUUUAGAAUGUAUACAUUCAAGGUCAAGCCUUGCUCAAGGGCCUAUUCCCAUGACUGGACGGAGUGUCCAUUUGUUCACCCUGGUGAGAAUGCAAGGCGGAGAGAUCCAAGGAAAUACCAUUAUAGCUGUGUCCCAUGCCCUGAGUUUCGCAAGGGUUCGUGCAGGCAGGGUGAUGCUUGUGAAUAUGCACAUGGUAUUUUUGAGUGCUGGCUUCACCCUGCCCAGUAUCGAACACGUCUCUGCAAAGAUGAAAUUAAUUGCACAAGGAGGGUUUGUUUCUUUGCUCACAAGCCUGAAGAGCUUCGCCCCUUGUAUGCUUCAACGGGGUCGGCUGUACCUUCACCUAGAUCCUACUCGGCUAAUGGUUCAACCCUGGAUAUGGGUUCUAUUAGCCCGCUUGCGCUUGGUUCUCCAUCUGUCUUGAUACCACCUACAUCAACCCCGCCAAUGACUCCCACUGGGUCCUCUUCUCCUAUGGGUGGAUGGUCAAACCAAUCUAAUAUUGUACCCCCUACCUUGCAGCUUCCUGGUAGCAGGUUGAAAUCUGCACUGAGUGUUAGAGAUAUGGAAUUAGAAAUGGAGUUGCUUGGGCUUGAUAGUCACCGUCGCCGGCAACAACUGAUGGAUGAGUUAUCUGGUCUCUCCUCACCGUCUAGCUGGAAUAAUGGUUUGUCCACUUCUUCAGCUUUUGCUGCCUCCUCUAGUGAUCGAACUGGGGAGUUACACAGGCUUGGAGGAGUGAAGCCCACUAACCUUGAAGACAUUUUUGGAUCUCUUGAUCCUUCAAUUUUGCCUCAGUUGCAGGGACUUUCUGUGGAUGCUACUUCAUCCCAAUUGCAGUCUCCAACCGGUAUUCAAAUUCGCCAGAACAUUAAUCAGCAGCUCCGCUCGAGCUAUCCGACCAACUUCUCAUCCUCCCCCGUUAGGCCAUCUUCCUUUGGGAUUGAUCCAUCUGGUGCAGCGGCAGCAGCAGUUUUGACUUCGAGGUCAGCCGCCUUUGCAAAAAGAAGUCAAAGCUUUGUUGAACGAAGUGCUGUGAACCGUCAUACUGGGUUUUCUUCACCCACUUCUUCAGCAACCAUAAUGGCUUCUAACUUUUCAGAUUGGGGUUCCCCUGAUGGCAAAUUAGAUUGGGGUAUCCAAGGAGAAGAGCUUAAUAAGCUGCGCAAGUCUGCUUCUUUCGGCAUUCGAAACAAUGGGGGAGCUGGAGCAGCUGCAACCUCAUUGCCAGCGACUCUUAAUGCGCCAGAUGUGUCGUGGGUGCAGUCCCUGGUGAAGGAUGCCCCUUCUACGAGUCCUCGGCAGUUGGGUUUUGAGGAGCAGCAGCAAUGCCAUCUUAACACCGGAAAUUCAGAAAUAUUUCCAGCCUGGGUGGAGCAAUUGUACAUUGAGCAGGAGCAGAUGGUGGCUUAAACCAACAUUAGCCCCCAUAUGGCUCCUAAAUUAACAUUUUAACUAGUAAUCUUCUUUUAAUUUGUUUUUUUAUGUUUAUUAAUUUCAAAUUAUAUCCAGUAGGAAAGAAAUUGGAGAAAGGAAAAAGAAAAAAGGAGUUGGGCAGGUGAAGGAUUUCUGCUCAUAGCAUUAUUAGGUUAUGUUGAAUGAUGAAUUAUUUUUUCUAGGUAAUUUGGUUUGUGUAUUUGCUGAUUCCUGGCAAGCAGAUAGAAGAAGGCAUGGAAGCAUAUUCUUGUGCUGACAGAGAUGAGAAUAGAGGGGGGCUGGGUAGUGCAAAGUAUACCUGAUUUCAUUUUUACUAAGUGUUGGAUUAUUUCUACUUUGUAGGUACAUGUAUGUUUUUCUUCAAGUAUGGCUUUCACAUCCCAACCUUAAUUCUGUAAUCUGAUGGGGGUUCUUAAUAGCUGAGAAAUAAUGCAUAGAGACGUUGGCAUCCAGCUCUCUGAAUGUUAGAAAAGGAAAAGUUUUUCAGUAAAAUUUAUUGGUCGCGUCCUCUGUAACUUGUAUACUUUAUUAGAUAUAUCCAUAAUCUAAAAGUUUCUCAUACUAUUAUGCUGAGUGACCAAACCAGUGAUAUAUUUUAUUUUUCUUGCUGAAAGGUGAAAGGCUGAUCUGCUCCACGAUUCUGAAAUGGUGGGGGGGAGAAUGUUGAGCACUGAGGAAAAGGGUAGCUCCUAAUUGCAUCUUUUGAUCCAACUUUCAUGAGCACAAUAUUAAAGAAACAAACAUCCUGAUUCUAUUUCUUGCUGACAUCUAAAAAUUAUAUUAUACCCUUUGAGUCAACAUUGCAGCUUCCAUCUCAAUCUGCCGGCUUUCUUGAACUGAAUCACUAAGAAUAUAUAUAUUAUUAUCAUUUUGGUUGA